rnacentral:lncRNA from 1 species
ACGCCCCAACAGGAAGGAGUCUCACGUGACCUCUGCUAUAAGGGCCCAGGCGGCGCCGCUUAGCUUGCUUAAAGGGGCCGCGUCGCCGGAGUGUCUUGCGGGAAGAGAUGCUUCC